rnacentral:lncRNA from 1 species
CCCAACAAACUUAAUAUUUAAGGAUGAAAUUGAAACAAAUUAAUUGUAAAAAGAAGACCUAAAAAAAACAAAUUCAACUGGACUCAUAAAAUUGAAAUUACCCUAUAAAAAGCAAAUCCAAAAAAAUCACGAAGCCAGAUUCUCAAUAAAAAAAUAUUGAAGGAUGAGAUUGAGAGAGAAAAAUCAAUAAAAAGGAUAAAAAACAAAUAAAAAUUAAAAGAACGAGAAUCAAAUUGGACAUAAAAAAAUAAAAUCAAAUACAAAUGGAUGAAAUUAAAAGUAAAAUUCCAUAAAGAAAAAGGAUUUGAAACGAAACAAAUAACAUUCAAAAGAAUAAGGGUCAAAUUUGAUAUAAAAAUCAAAUAAAUUAAAAUUCAGAGGGACAAAAUUGAAAAACAAAAUCAAUUCAAAAAUGAAUUCAAAAUAAAACAAUUAGUCAAAUAAUUGAGAACCAAGUCUAAUAAAAAACAAAAUGAUAUGAUGCCUUUAGAUUUUGAUAACUAGAAGCCAACUCUAAAGAGAUGAGAUUGAAAAAGGGGUGAGAAAGAAAAAUGAUCGUCAGCACCAAAUCAAAACGUCGUUGUCGCACAUCAUACUAAAUGAAAGCUCUCCGUGUAUUGCUGCCAACAACACAAAAAAAAGAUGGCUUUUGGCUACCAGGAGACUCCACAUGCAUCGCCUAAACACGAUCGCAUCUCCCACCUGUUGGCGCUUACGUUGCAGCGCCAAUUUAUUUGACUUUUUUAUUUACCAUAUCUCCAUAUUUGUUUAAGUUUUGAUCUCUUAACUCUUAAUUGUUCUAAAUGAGCCAAAUUUUAUUUUACUUUGCAAAACCGAGCAUCAAUCAAGCCUUAAAAUUUUUCUUGAUAUUGCAAAAUCCUUUUAUAAAGAAAAAAAACAACCAUGUCAAAUCCCAAAUCAAACCAAUUUGAAAAAAUCAAAUUAGAAAAAAAAAGUUAAGCAACCAAUUUAAAAAAAAAAUGGCAUGAAACCCCCCCUUAACAUUCAAAUGAGUCCAUAAAUCUCACCAAAAAAGGGGGGUCGAACAUUUUUUAAGCUUCAAAUUCAAAUAAAUUAAAAUAAAGUUGAAGGACUGAAUAAUAAGUAACAAGAAUCAAGGGACCAAAAUGUAAAAAACCCAAGGGGUAAAAAAGAGAGGAAACAAUAUCGGAAUAAACAAUGUUUUCUCUCACGUCUGAGCACAUUUAGGUUUUUGUUAACAUCUAAUAAAGUAAUUUUCUUCUCACAGUUCACGCCUCGAGACCUUGAUGAUAUAGAUCCUUUUUAUCUUUAUCCACUCUGAAAACUUUUUGGAUGCUUAAAAUGCCUUUCCAGUGAUUUAAAUUUAAAUUAUUUGCAUCCUUCAACUUUCUUCUUGAUGUUUUUUUAACUUUGCUGAGCACUGUCCAGAUGCCAGAUGCAAUGUCAGUACACACACACAAAGACGAAACCCGAUAAAUAUACUGCUCUGAAUGGCUGGAUCUUGACGGCUGCGAUGAUGAACUGGAUCCAUGAGCUUCUUCUUUUUACCCAGUAUUUGCUGCCCUUCAAAAAUCAAUUAAUUAAAUUCAGGUGAAGUUGGGAUCACACUUUCUGGGCCUGGAAUACGAGCACAGUGGCCCUCAGUCCCUCACCAGCUUUAAGUUUUAGUGAUAAAAAUGUGUUAUAACUAUGUUUUUUUUGUUUUUUUAAAUUUAUUUUUAAUAUGAAAACAUAAAAAUAAUCUAAAAAUAUUAAAUUAAUAAUAUUUAAUUAAAAAAUUCAAGAACACGGUUAAACUGUAAUGCCAAACAGAGUUUCAAUUUCAAACUGUCUUGUGCAUGUUAAAAUAGAAACUACUAAGCUAGAAGUCGAGAAUAAUUGGAUGAAAAGAAAGAUGCUUGAGUGUUUCCACAAGAAAUUGCUGUUGAAAUAAAUUAUGAUUAGAAAUUAUAAAUAUAUUAAAAUCGAAUGUUUGUAAUGACCCAUUAUUAUCCUAAUUUUUCAGAAAAUUGAAAUAUUAUCGUCCCAGUUUUCUUACAUGUUUUUCAACGUGAAUUUUCAAGUGCUCAUUAGGGAAUCAAGAAGUGAACGACCCAUGAAUGCCUUGUUAUCAUAACGAGGCCAAAAAAAUAACGUAGACUUGCGGGCCAGAAUAUAUACUGAACUGAUAUCACAAGCCCAAGCUCCGACCAUUGACUAGCAAGUGAAGUUAUUGAACUUGUCUUUUUUUCGCUUUUAUUUUUGUAAGAAUAUAUAUAUAUAUAUAAAGGCACCUUAAGAAAUGCUUUGUUUUAUAUUUUCAUAAAAUAAGAAAUAAAAAAAAUGGGAAACCAUAUGUUAUCUUCCUUUCCCUGUUUACUCUCCAAAUCUUAGUCCAAACUAAUGAUUAGGCAAACAUUAUAUAAAGUUAUAAAUUUUAAAGAGUAUAAUUUAAUUGAUUAAGUUCUGAGUUUAUUUUCUAGAAGUUAUUAAUUCAAGUUUUAUAAAUUUCAAGGUCAUUGGAGAUUUACAUGAUUGUUAACUUUAAAAUUCAUAGAAUUAAUCAAAAUAUUAACUCGAAUAUCUACAGUAAUCUUAAGAAAAAGAAAAAGUUAUAGAAUUCUGAGAAAAAAAAAGCAUAUAAACAAGGAAUCAAUAAGACAAAUAACACUCAUGCUUAGAAAGGCCGCAAUGAGCAACAACGACGAAUCCAAGAUGUGGUGUUUGGGGUAAGAUUGUGUAAUUUUUAAGUUAGAGUGGUUUAUUUCAUAAAACUUGUUUGUACAGCUUGCAAUUUUUUGGGGUAUUUUGAAGAUUUUUAAAACUUUAGUAAAACCAGAGCCCCCUCCCUCCUUAAAUUUAAUCAUACAGGAAUGAUACACUUCUUCAUGGAUCAACAACUCUCUCUCUCUCACACACACAUAUCAAACAAAAAACAAUUUCAUCACCAUAAAACCAUUUCAUACGAUAGCAAGGAUAGAAAAAUCUAACAAUACUUUUUUUUAGCAAUGAAAUAGAUUAGUAUUGGUGUUGGUGCCCGUGUUGGGUGAUCUAAAACAAUAAUAUAAAAAAUAUUUAGAUGUAAUUAUUGUAUUAUUUUAAAUUUAAAUAAGUAAAAUAAUUCGUGAGUCACGUCAUAAACUUGUUUAGUUUUAAUAAGCUGAUUUUAUUUAAUUAUAUAAUAAAAAACCAAGACAAUGAAGUAAAUAAACCAAAUUUAAAAAAACAAUCAUGAUAACUUGCACAAAAACAAAUGUUUGCUAAAAGAAAAAAAUAUAUAAAGCUCUGUUUUCAAGCAACUUAAUAUCAAACAAAAAAAAAACACGAGAUAACCUUAUUGUUAUGGGUUUUUUGUGCUCACCUCAAUAAAGAUUAAUCUUAAUUUCAAAGUUAAAUGUUAAUGAUAUAAAUUCCAAACUUUGUUCCUACAAUUCUAGACUUGUAACAAUGUCUCUCAAAUAUGAGUUUAAGAUUUUAUGGUCUUUUUAUAUAUGUUGAAAGGAAAUUUGAACUUAAAAAGUAAUCAAAUAAUUGAAUGUUUUGAAUGCAAUAAAUAAAUUAAUAACUCAUGAUCAAAGAACUUGCAUGCAUUAAAUGAUUCUUCAAUUGAUUAUAAACACACAAGGGAAUUCCUUGACAAAAGAGCAUGAACUGAUAUAUGUUUUUAGUAUUUUCUAGAGUUUUUAUAAUGAAAACUACAAGCCUAUAGGUUUACAAUGUAAAUUGCAAGCCUACUAAUUAUACUUUGAGUUUUGUUAUAAAAUAACGUAAAGCUUGAGGAUAGAAGAGAAAAAAGAGGGAAGAGAAGGAUAAAAAAGAAGAGAGAGAGAGAGACUCUUACUGUGCAUCCACCAUUGCACACAUUGUGCAUUCAAAAAGCUCUUGUUGAGAUGCAUUAAACGCCACUAAAGAUAAAUGCAUUCUAACACCGGAAGCAAUUGCACGUGUGCCAGCUUCCUUUACACAUUGGUAUAUACAACACACACACUAACAUAUUUUUCAUUGUUUGUCAACCCCAGUCCCUCCAAUUGUUUCCAGUCUCAAAUUUAGUCCCUCAAGCCUUAACUGUUUGAGAUAAAUAAAACUAAGAUUUAUUUUACAUUUUAAAAGGAUCAAAUAAAAAUAAAAAUGGAGUGACCAAAUUUGUUUUUGGGUUUGAUCUCUCCCUUGCUUAUGCACUUUACUUCCUGGCUUUUCCAAGAAAAAAAGGUUGAAUAUUUAUUUAUUGUUCAUAUUCAAUCCCCUUAACUUAAAUUAUUUUAAAUCAAUACGAUUUCAUUUAAUUUUGCUAAACUGAAUAUCAAUCAAGUGUCGUUUCCCCCCUAACAUCAUGAGAAAUAUCAAGUCUGACACUAAUUUAAUCUAAUCUAAUUUUAAAGGAUAAAAUGAAGAGUUAAUAAAACUUGGUUGAAAAAAAAAACUGACACUGUUACAGUAAUUUUGUGACUGAGUGAAUAGUAAUUUCCCAAAAAAAAAAUUUAGAUGUAACUGUAGUUUUUAUAUUUAUAAUUCUUAUUGUGAUUCUCUCGGACAUGACAACGUAAUUUAAGUAUAGCUAUCAAACUAUUGUGAGACUACUUGGCCCUCUAACUGAGUUCUCAGACUCACCAACCCAUCCUUCGUCAGAAGUAACUCUUUCAACAAUUGUUUAAUGGCGCUCACGCUCAUGGCCAUAAAUGCACGCGUGUUUGGACCACAUAAUCCGCUCAACCUUACUUCAAUGUCUGAAAAGGAAAAAAAAUAAAAAAUCAACGAACAUGAAUAUUUUGAAGUUGGACCGAUCAACAAUAUCCAAAUUGCUUAUGGCCAUGCAAAUCAAAUACAAACGAAACCCUAAACUACAAGGGGCAAAAUCAAUUACAAAAUUUAGUAAAUUCAUUGUUUGAAAAACAUGGCUGCCUCGUGAAUUAAAUUAUCGAGUAUUUUUUAUAUAUAAUUUUCCCUCGUUUACUAUAAUUGUAGGACUCACUGUAAUGAGCUCUUAGAAUCAAGACUGUAAAUGCUCCCCGACCAUGUUGGGGGCAUUCAUCCAACCAAACCAACAAUUACAUUACAUUACCGAAAAAACUAAAAUACUUGAUGUUUUAGAACAAUGUGGACUACUACACAAUUCAUAAUAGUUCGGGGCUUUUUUUUAUUAUUUUGAUCAUCAAACUUUUUUCUUCUCUUUAAUUUGAUUUUUUUUUAUUGUAGAAUUAGUUGCCAGGUUCUUAUUAUUUGAUUUGUUAUGUAAAGACAUUUUUUUAAAAAGGGAUUAAAGUAAAAAAAAAAUAAAUUAUGUGGUGCUUUUGACAUUGGAGUCAAAAAAUUAGCUUUGAUUCACCUGCAAUGAAUACGUUUUUAGUCCAUUUUUUUUUCUAGAUUCACUCUCAAUGAAAAACAUUUUUUUUUUGUUUUAAUCUCUGGAUUUAAGAAAUGAGAGAAAAAAUCAUUGGAUUUCAAUGAAAAAAAUAAAUAAAUUCAAUUAGUGUUAAUUUUGACCAUAAAAAAAUUGAUUUUACUGUUAAAAAGUUUCAUUUAAUGAGAAUAGAUUAACAUUUUUCCUUUACUUUAUUUGAGAUGGUAAAUUUGAGCUUAAGAUGAUUUUUAGUUUCAAGUUGUUUUUAUUUUUUAAACUAUUUUUUUUAUAUCUUUUUUGUUUUAUACAUGAGCUUAUUUAGAUUUUUAGACUGUGUUGAAGUUUUUUUUUUUCAACAAAAUCUUUUUAAUUUUUUUUAUAUAUAAUUAUUUUAAUUUUAUAAUUUAAGUCAUAAAUUUAAUAAAUUAAUUCAGAUUAACUCAAAACAUUAUUUUUUUUAAAAAAAUUAUUUUUAUUUUUUCUAAAACAAUAGGUUGAUUUUUUCCGGUAGGAAACACAAGGGCACCGUCUUUACACUUUUUUUUUCGCGGUUAAAAUCCAACGAACUGAUCCCCACUGUAAAGUGACCGAGAAUCUAGUAAAACUUACUCUUUGUAUCUUAGCAGUGGUUAGUUAACCUUAUUUAAACUGGUUUAUUAACCAAACCAUGAUUACUGAGAGACAAGCCAAUACAGUAAAAACACGACAGAGAGACUUCAACAAUAAGCCUCAUAGUUUAAUAAAUUACAAUUUAAUAAAAAGAAGCAAGAGAUAAUUAUGUAAAAAGAAAAAACAAUUAUUAAAAUCUUUUUAAUAAUACCCACACUUGUCCUUUCUUACUCUCCAUGGGCAGCCCGAACUCACAAUCUUUUCAAAAUUUACAUCGAGAAGAACCCUGCCCGACCUGCCCUAAACCUGAAUGAGAAACUACGGGCAGUUAGUCAAUCAGUCACCAUGCCACACCAGUAUUCUCUGCUUUCUCUUUCUUUUUGUGAUGAUAUUUAUUUUUUUCUAUAUCUUCUGGAGUCUCUCUUCUGUCUCUACGAUCAAGAUCCAACGGUCCAAAAUGCAGGGAGCUCUUAACGCUUGUUUCUUCAGGUUUUAGAGCCUGAAACCUCCAGAUCUGCUCUCUCUGUGCUCAGAUCUUCAUUCCUGGUACGAUUUACCUCUCUAAUUCUCUUCCUUGUGUUUUAAUUUCUCUGUUUUGAUCACUUCUCUGCUCGGUUCGCUUCCUUAUGAGCUCGGUUCUGUACUUUUCCUCUGAGAAUGAAAGUUUUUUUCUGUUGAUUUCUUGUUUACUUGCCGUUUUGAGCUUUUGUGAGCGCUUUGAGUCAAAUUUAGCUCUCUUUGCCCCAAUUUUCUUGUUUACAGUGAAAACCGAGUAAUUCAUCUUGUUUUAUUCGCCCUUUUGUGAAGCUUUGCUCGUUUUUGCUUCAAAUUCUCUGUUUCCGUUGAAUUUUGAUGCUUUCUCCAUGAGAAUUUGCUUGUUUUGCUUCAAACUUCAGGACUUUGUCUGCUUCUGUUACGAUUUCCGAUAUAGUUUAACUUGACCUUGUGCUGGUUUUUCAAUUUUGAAUAUCUCUGUCGAAGACCGUCGCCGGCAAGGGUUUAUCUUCGCAGAAAGCUGUUUUUUGUCUAGUUCUGUGUUGAAAAAAACACUUUUUCUUUAAAAUACGUUCUCAUCUCUCUGUAUAACUUUUUUUCACUGCUAAACGAACAUUCUUGAAAACAAGAUUUUUAUUUGUUUUUGUUUAUAUAAUUAUGAGUUUCAUUUAUUUUUAUUUUUAUUUUUUUGGAUUUUUUUGUCUUUUGCGCGGUGCGAGAUCUGACAGCUGAUACGGUUUUGGAACAGAUCUAACGGUCAUGGAUCCUGUUUGCGCAGGUGCUUUUUAUUUCUCUUUUUUUUCCUUUUUUUGACGCCAGCAAAUGGAGGCUCGAUACGGAUCAGUGACAGUUACCCUUACUAACGGAUUGCUAAUGUGCGCCUGCGAGGUUCUGACUACUUUACUAGUUUCUGCUUUCUUCAAGGCCCAACUUUUGGCCCAGGUAAGUGUUUUUCUUUCAUUUUGCUAAGCUUCUUGUCCUUGAAGUUGUUAAUUGAUGUGUUUCUGCCUUUAUUUGGCUUCUGUUUGUGUUUGUAGUUCCUUUUAGGUUAGCGUGUUUCACGUUUCAUUUCCUGCUAACAUGCGCUGAUUCUAGCUAGUUUUUAACCCUGGUCGUGUUAUAUGCUCUAUAUGCUGCUAACAUGCGCCAAAGUGGCUUUCUUUAGGUGGUGGGUUUGGACAUUUUCUUAGGAUUACUAACCUUUUUUAUUUUUUAUUCGGCCUUAUCUUGCUUUCUCGCCGUAGAAGCGCACUGUAGGCUAAAUUGCGCAUGGGGCUUUUUUUUAUUAAAGAGCGCCGUGGAUUUGAAGAAAUAUUUGGGGUAUAGACGGUUUAGGACACGGUUUGAGUUCCGGUUUUGUUUGCUCUCGUGGGCCCGUGGGGACGGGGAUAUAAAAAAAAAAAUAAAUCUCUGCAGGGUAACUUUUUAUUUUAUGUCAUGUUGUGAUAGGAAAAGUCAUAUAAAAUGGGAAAGCAUCUUUUGAUGUUGUUAAGGCCGUGUUAGAAUAUUCUCUUAGGAUGCCUUGUUUGUCAUUUCUUAUGUCAUAGAAGAUAGACUAUUCCUAGUCGAUACGUGUUAUCAUUUAAUGAUAUAUCUUGAUUAUUUCAAGACGAUAAAUCUGCUGAUGCAUGAAAGGGUCUCUAAUUUUUGGCAUAUUCUAUUUCCCACCCUUGCUUGUACGUUUUGACGAGUCCCCCUCGCACCACCAACUUGCUUUAUUUUAUUUUUUAGGUCGUCAUUGAUCAAUUUAAAUUUUAAACCUACGAAGAUUCAACAGUUGAGGGUAGAGUCAGACCCAUUAAAAAAAAAUGUGAAAAAAUGUGGAGUUGUUGUGGUCGGUAACAAGUUUUAUUGAACGCUUAUUUUUAUAUUUUAAAAAUAUUUUUUAAAAAAUUAAAUUUUUUUAUAUAUUAAAUUAAUUUUUUAUUAUUAUUUUGAGGUGAUGAUGUGAAAAAUAAUUUUUUUAAAAUAAAAAAAAUAUUAUUUUAAUAUAUUUCUAAAAAAAAAACUUUAAAAUAAACACAGAUACGCUUUCUAACACGAUAGCAGAUGCAAACACGUUCGUAGAAGGCGAAGCCACUAUUUUCACAAUUUGCUUUAUGAUCAUAAUGGAAUCUCUGUACGGAUGCCUUAAAUUUCUUGAAGAAAAAGAAGUAUCCCAAACAGUGAGAUGAGUGUGACUAGUGAAGGGAUGUUUCUCUUAUCUGUAAAGAGAACCUCCUUUCCCUUUACAGUUGUGGUUGCCACAUAUAUUCCAGAGGCACCAUGGCCAGGUCUCACUUUCUUUUCAAAAUAGGGAAUAAAGAAAUAGAUUCUGAAAAAAAAAAAAAAGGAGAGAAGAACCUGGUUCUCGCUGGCAUGCUCUUUAGUAAGACGCUUUACUGACUUCCUCUUCAAAUGGAGAUAGUUUAUGGCCUUGGAUGCUCUCAGUUAUUUGGUCUACAGCACCUUUUGAUUCUAUUCCAUCAACCAGCUGAGAAUUCCAUUCUUGUUAAUUCACUUAUUUCUUUUAAUUUACACUCUUUUCGCACAGGCUUAUUGUUUCAUGGAAUUCAACAAGUGUCCUAGAUAGAUGUAGCUAGAAGUUGAAAAGUUUCUUUAAGGCGGAAAGAAAGAGAGAGCAGUGUGGGAUUUGGAAAUUUUACUUCAGAGGUUAGAAACUUGAACAAAAUGAAGACAAUUCCUUUACCUGAAUAUAUAUACACGUUUGCAUUCAAUAAACGUCUAUAAUGUCAAAAGCAAUGGGUUUUGCAACGAAAGAUACCCUGUAGCUAUGAUCUUCUUGAUGCUUUUCUGUUUAUUUUUUAAGCACACAUGAUGCUGCCUUUUGUUUAUCGAAGACUGUAUUGUACAGCUCUGCUAUUUAUUGUACUAUUUUGGAGACCUUGUGCCGUGCAAUUAUCUAUUGCCUAAGAUAUAAAGUCUCUGUUAGACCCACUAUGAAAUGCUAUUUCAUAAAAAUGGUUUCAGGAUCCCUGCGGGUUGUUGCUGACUGCUAAACCUAGAAUGAAGGGAGAUGAGGCACAAGGCCAUGAUAUUAACCCAGUUGAUGCAGAAGGAGAUGAUGAUAAUGAUGAGGACGACGGGGAUGAUGAUGAAGGGGAAGGUGGCUUCGGAGAAGGUGAUGAAGAUUUGUCGUCUGAAGAUGGAGAGGACUUGGCCAACAACCCCAACAACGACGACAAGAGUAACUCAAAGAAGGGUCCAGGUGGUGGAGCAGGCGGGGCAGAUGAGAAUGGAGAAGAGGAACAAGAAGAUGAUGAAGAUGACGGCGAAGGUCAAGAUGACGAUGAAGAAGACGACGACGAUGACGACGACGACGAUGAUGACGAUGACGGCGACGGCGGGGAAGAGGCUGAGGAAGAAGUUGAGGAGGUAGAGAACGAAGAGGAAGAAGAA